rnacentral:rRNA from 1 species
AUGUCCGAGGUAACACGUUCGACCGGUGAGAUGCGAUGCUGGAACCGGCGUGGGGAUUUGCUACAACCGACGAGGGGAUUUGCUUCAACCGGCGAGGAUGGUGGUGAGCGGCGACGGUGGCGGGCUGCGGAGAGGAUAGUGCUGGGCGGCCACGACGGCGGGGUGCCAUGUUUUUUGCUGCAUAGGAUUUUUGCUGGAACCAGCUUUUUGACCUGUUGCAAUCGCCUAGGAUGGUGUUGGAGCGGCUACGACGGCGACGCCAUGACUUUUUUUGCUGCGUCAUUUUUUUGUUGGAAACCCCUUUUUCAAUAUUUUGCUGGAACUAUAUGUUUUUCUGUUGGAACCAUGUCUGUUUUUUGCUGGAACCAUAUCAAUGUGUUUCGCUGGAAAAACAUCAUUUUUGCUGGAACCACAUUAUUGUUUUGUUGCAACCAUAUCUGUUAUUUGCUGGAACCAUGUGUUUUGCUUUUUAAACUGGCGUUGCUAUUUUUUGCUACAAUCGCCGAGCGCCGACGCCGACGACGAGCAUCCAGCGGGGAACGGCGAGGAGCCAGCGGAGCUUCGAGGUUGCGCGGGCAAGGAUGGAUGGCGUUUUGUUGUGUUUUUUUUUUUCUGUGCAUGCGAGGCAAAAAGAUAGGGAAAAAAAAGAAAAAGGACACGCGAUCUGACGGUUUGCAGCUUUUAGAUCGGGUGGCCAGCAGCGGACCGGCCGAAAGGUUGGGCCGGUGCACCGGCGCCUAG